rnacentral:tRNA from 1 species
UUGCCGGGAUAGCUCAGUUAUAGAGCAGAGGACUGAAAAUCCUCGUGU